UAAUAUUGUCACUGCAGCUCAUGCUCAGGAUGUGACUGAUCUUCCUGUGUCAACUCGGAUGCAAAUUUUGACAGUACUACAGAAAAUAAGACCUUACUUGGCUGAGAGAAGCAUUCUGGAAAGCAUAUAUAAGAGUGGGAAUCCAGGUCAUUUUUUCACAUUUAUAUCACCAAAGGAAUUAUUGGAGAUACAAAAGAAGCUGAGGGGCACCCUAUCAGAUGUUUCUUUUGAGCACUUUGCACAGGACUUCAGUGGACUACCACAAAAUACACUUUCAGUUCUCCUGGGGAGUAUCAGAUCUAAGAUAUUAGAGAGAAAUGAUUCUUG